CCCCCAUAAUCAUAUCGUGGUUUUGGCACGUAAAACCCUAGCAGUCAUUAGUUUUCUAUUGUAGGGUACCUGUCUCGCACUAAAAAUCUGAAGGCGACGUCAGCCUGCCCGGCUGUUUUGUCGCUGUGUACUGUUAAGGCGCUGAUAAAGAAAUAUAAAAAACCAGCCAGAGGGGCACCGCGCGAGCAUAAAGAUUUAUCUUGCACAGUUGAUGAGCUGAUGUUCAGCGGCCCGACUAGAAAUCGACUGUCACGCCAUUUCAUUACCUUUACCCGCUCGUCAUGUGUUCUGGCUCCUCAUUGGCCAGCAAUACUUUUUAAUGGUUUAGAAAUGCGGACAGCCGAACAAAGGUGCGGCGUCUGCUGAAAUGGCACCACGCGUCCCAGUUGAAGAACGAAAUCUCAUCGCCAGAUUUUUCGUUGAGCGUGCACCGCAGAGAGAGAUUUGCCGAAGAAAUUGCAGUUCGAAGACAUCGCUGAGCAGAAUUAUCCGUGCCUUUCGAGAUGAAGGAACACUUGCGGAUGUCAAGCGGUCCGGCCGGCCAAGACCCCGACGCAUGAGGACGACAUUGAUUGUGGCCGCAUCUGUCGUGGACCCUUUCCUGAGUGGUAAAGAAAUCCGCGACGAGGUGUCACUGGAUAUUUCUCCUUCGACAGUUCGCCGUCGUUUAAAAUCCGCUCGAAUUUUAAAUUGUGCUGCGGCGCAGAAGCCAUUCUUGAGUGAGCGACAACGCCAACAAGGCCUGGACUUCGCUCUGGACCACCAGCACUGGAGCGCAGAAGAGUGGCACAAUGUAGUUUUUUUCUGACGAGUCCACUUUCUGCACUCGUUGGGAUCAAAAAAGGGGGGUGUGGCGGCCCUUCAAUUCCAGAUUGCAGGUGUCACCCUGGCUAUACUCAGAGUGUUCUUUCAAGUGGCCGAUGUGCAGUCUCCGUGUGGGGUGCCAUGAGCAAAGAUGGCCUCUUGUCCGCAUUGAUGUUAAAUUCACGGCGUCAUGUUGCAGUUUUCUGCUGCAAGACACCAUGCUCCCAUAUGUGCUGGAUGGACCCUUCCCCGACGGCUGUUUCCUUUUCCAGCAGGGCAAAAGCCCCGUGCACAUGGCUCGUAAGGUGACCGACGUGCCAGAGAACCUUGGCGUGCGCACGUUGCUGGGGCCUCCGAAUGGCGCGGACGCAAACCCCAUCGAAACUGUCUGGGCGCGAAUGAAGUCGGCUCGGUCCAAACGCAACUUGUCCACGGCAGACGCACUCUGGGACGCCAUUCGUGAGGAGUGGGAUCUCCCUCGAUCUGAUAGCGAAUAUGUCGCCUCGCUUUACAGUUCGAUGCCAAGGCGGAUGUCGGAGAUCAUUUCCGCGGGCGGCCACUUCACCCACUACUAAAUUUGUGCAGCAAUACGUCCGGGGCGCAGAUUUGCCGAUGCUAUAUUAUGGGUGCCCUCAGGCUAAGUAGCUUUCAAUUUUUGUUCUUUCAUGGCAAACCUAUGACUGCGCCGAUAUCUGCUCGCGUCAUUUUUUACUCGUGUACUUGCCUAUUUCUUUUGGACCUGCCUAUCUCGUUUCAUUUGAUUCAAAUAAACUGAUUUCUUCGGCUGAA